GUGCUCACUUCAGCAGCACAUAGACUAAAAGUGGAACAAUACAGAAAAGAUUAGCAUGGCCCCUGCACAAGGAUGACACACGUUUGUGAAGUGUUCCAUAUUUUU